UACAGAGGUCUCAAGCGUUGUUCGGAUUCAUUGGGCGUAAAGGGUGCGUAGGUGGUGGGGUAAGUCGGAUGUGAAAUCCCGGGGCUCAACCCCGGAACUGCAUUCGAAACUGCCUUGCUCGAGUACUGGAGAGGAGACUGGAAUUUACGGUGUAGCAGUGAAAUGCGUAGAUAUCGUAAGGAAGACCAGUGGCGAAGGCGAGUCUCUGGACAGUUACUGACACUGAGGCACGAGGGCCAGGGGAGCAAACGGG
rnacentral:rRNA from 1 species